GGCCUUUUUCCUUCAGGAUUGAAGAGAACCUUCCAGCACCUCUCUUUAAUGGAUUCUCGUGCAUUGGAGAAAAUGGAUGGAACAGUUUGGGGCUUUGGAGCCACCUGCCGCUCUUGCGUGAGCACCUCCCACUGCCUUGACUUUUUAUUGGGCUGCGUGCUUGGUGCCAAGAUUUACUCCGCCGCUAUGGGGAACAACUGGAUUUGGCAUAAGUGAGAAUAACUGCUUUUCCCCUGGGGAGAGACAAAAAGGUCUUUCUCCAAAUUCAAAGCCUCAAGAACCUGUCUGGCAAAUCCAUCCUUGGAAGACUGAAGAUAAGAAAAAGAAUGGGCAAAAUGGAGUCCUCUUGAACAAAAAGGUGUUGCUAAACACUUAUAUUUUCUUACUCCUAAAAGAAAGGCCCCUUUCAGUAUAAUGCUAUCAAGCAGGCAAAGUGACCUGAUCUUGUGACAGGGUCCCACUUUUACCAGAAGAGUCGCCAGAAAUUGUGUGUGCCACAGAUGUGAAGCUCCACAGAAGACUGAUGGGGCGCAUGGGCUCUUGGACAGUGAGGGGCACGUGCUUGUGGAAUUGGGGCCUGAAGUGUUCUGACAAUCAUCCCUAGUCAUGCUCGUCUCUAAUGGGGUGAGAUUUAACCAAUGGAUGCCAGCACAUUUCUGGAACUGAAAGAAUUAGAAACCUAGAAAGGAAUUGUGUCUUUGGCACAUUAGAAAAGCUGCUUCAUUAUACUAGAGAUUCUAGAUUAUGCUGAAUGUUGUCUCUUGGCUGGAAGAUCU